AGCGAACGCUGGCGGCAGGCCUAACACAUGCAAGUCGAGCGCCGUAGCAAUACGGAGCGGCAGACGGGAGAGUAACACGUGGGAACGUGCCCUUCAGUUCGGAACAACCCAGGGAAACUUGGGCUAAUACCGGAUAAGCCCUUACGGGGAAAGAUUUAUCGCUGAAGGAGCGGCCCGCGUCUGAUUAGCUUGUUGGUGAGGUAACGGCUCACCAAGGCGACGAUCAGUAGCUGGCUGAGAGGAUGAUCAGCCUCACUGGGACUGAGACACGGCCCAGACUCCUACGGGAGGCAGCAGUGGGGAAUAUUGGACAAUGGGCGCAAGCCUGAUCCAGCCAUGCCGCGUGGAUGAUGAAGGCCCUAGGGUUGUAAAGUCCUUUCGGCGGGGAAGAUAAUGACGGUACCCGCAGAAGAAGCCCCGGCUAACUUCGUGCCAGCCGCCGCGGUAAU
rnacentral:rRNA from 1 species